CCCGUUAUAUGCACGGACGGUGCGGAUAGCGGAGAACUCGUAUUGCACGCCGUUAAAAGGGUUAAAAUUAAGUGUUUUAAAGGUGUUUCACGUUUGUCAAGGAGCACUACAAGGGAAACCAUACCCUCCCUGUGAAUUUAAUGCAGCCAAUGAGUUCUCACGUUUAGGAAUAAAACCCUAAUCAGUUCAUUUAAGAACAGUUGUGCUGUUGUCAUUAAAUCAGAGGGAGGUACAACCGAGUUUCUUGGAGAGAAUGUCACUUUGGUGCCUAGAAGUGGCCAAGAACCGGGGAUACAUUGUCGGGCCUCGCCACAGCCCGAGGCUUUGGCUGAGCCUCAGAUGGGCGACAUCAAGCUGAGGACCAUGUGGUGGAGGGAGGUGAGGCCAUGGGUAGAUGAAAAUAUGCAGUAAAGAACCAGGCCCAGUGGCCAGGGGGGAAGAGUAUGUACUCUCAAAGAAGGUGUAAGAAAGCAGCAAGGCAGUGGUUAUAUGCCAAAAACCUGGGGGUGAACCGUUCCUGGCAUGGCCUCACAGCUAGUUUGGAGAGGCGGAAUGGUGAACGUGGGCCCGCAGGGGAAGCCUCAGCCUGUUAUUCUUCGAUUUCACCGCUAUCAGGUCAAAGAACUGGUGAUCUGUGAGGCAUGUAAGCGAGGGUACCUGAUGUACCAGGGCCACAAGAUCCAGAUAUAUGAAGACUACAGCGCUGAGCUGCGAAUUACACUGCCGACCGGCAAAAGAAGAUGGCUGCAAUCAGUAUCAGAGGCUGAGAACUUCCUUCAGAGCUCCAACGCGCUUUGGCUCUGGACUCAGGGAAUUAAACCAAAUCUUCACCUCUUUUUUUUCGUGCUCCGAUGUAUACUCUGCUCCCAGUUGAGUAUGUUGAACUGGCCCUCUUAGACGGCAGCUUCGAAGUUGCAGUUGUUUCAUCCUGUCAUUAACUGCCGUAUGGAUUGUUGCUUGAACUUUCUUUGUAAUUAAGCUGCGUUUUUCCCUUAAAUUAAUGUUCUGGUUAGCUUUUUUUAUUGUUGUUAUACUAAAGUUAAUAUUGUGUCCGCAUUGCUUGCAUUGUAACUCAAGCUGAUAUAAAACUUUGUGUGCAAGAUUCUAAAAUAUCUUUUUAAGGCUUAGCUUUUGUAAGUUUGAUGUCAUGUUUCAUCCGAGGUUAACUGUGUUCGGGACUAGAGCCUUAAGGUAUAGGAAGUAAUACAUGUUGACUUAAGUUGAGCAUAUGUUCUUUCUCGCACUUGUGGUAGUUUUGGACCUGGAGCUCAAGUUUGUUUUUGGCCAGUUGGCUUAUUUGUUUUGUUUUGUACUUCUUUACACUAUUGUUUCUAAAUUACGUCAUUAUUCGUUUUAUCAUUAAUUCUUACAAGCUUUCUAUUUUCCUGUUAUCCUCCCCUUUUAUAUUCUCAAUGUUUUACCCCUUGUACUUCUUUAUACCUUGUGCUUAUGGGGGCACUAUUUUUCUACUAUCUCCCCAUACUGCUUUACCCUAAUGACAAGUCCAAAUAGUGUGGUAGCAUCAAGUAGUGCACUUAGAUUUAUGACCUGGAAUGUUCUGGGGCUAAAUUCACCCAUAAAUCAUAACCAAGUUCUUAGCCACCUCAAACAUUUAGGUACUAAAAAUGCAUUUCUUCAGGGGACUCAUCUUAAGAUAAGAUAAUCUUUUGUUAGUCCCACAAUGGGGAAGUAGAGUCCAGAAGACGGGGGCUGCAGCAGGGGUAAUUGUGUAGGGGCGGGGUGAGUGAUCAAAUCUAUUGAAAAACAGAUUGAGAUCGUUCUAUUCUAUAAUUCUAUUAAAAUGUGUGUUCUUCCCAAGAUCGUUCUAUUCUAUAAUUCUAUUAAAAUGUAUGUUCUUCCCAAGUUUUUAUACGUCUUUCAAUGUAUCCCUAUUUUUAUUCCCAAAUCCUUUUUUUUCACUUGAUGGACUUAUUUCUCAGUUUAUAUGGAAUAAAAAAAAACUAGGAUCUGGAAAGUUAUUUCACAAAGCAUUUAGGGGGUCUGGCCCGUUGAUGUUACACUGGUACUCUACAGGACAUUUGGACACCUUGGUUGCAUAUGGAGAGUGCUUUGUGCUCUCUGGCCUCUCUUGCAUCCCUUCUUUGUCUCCCUGUAUACUCUUCUCAUAUUAAAUACUCUAAUAAUAUUGUUAAAAAUUGAUUAAAAAUUUGGGUCCAGUUUACAUGGCAUUAUGGAUUUCAGACUGUUCCUCUGUCCUCUCCACUGCAUUCUAACCCUUUAUUCUCUCCCUCUGUUUCCGAUAACGCCUAUGCAGUAUGGGCAAGAUGUGGUAUUUUUUCUGUGGAAGAUCUAUAUUUUGAUGGAGUAUUUGCUUCAUUUGAUCAGUUAAUCUCAAUUUUUUUAUCUGCCCAGGGCUCAUUUUUUUUCAAGUAUUUACAAGUAAGGGACUUUGUUCAUAAAAAUAUCAGUAAUUCCCCAGCCACUCCACCUCCCUCCUCUUUAGAUGCAAUCCUAAAAAUAGAUCCUUAUAUAAAAGGCUCUAUUUCUAAACUUUACCACACCAUGUUCACUCUUCAGUCUUCAAACACUCAUCCUCUACGUAUUAUACGGUACCAGGACCUGGGUGUAAAUAUAGAGACAGAGUCUUGGGAGGCAAUUUUUAAGCGUCCAUAGUCCAUCUAUAUGUGCUCAUCAUUGUAUUUUGCAGUGUGAAGUUGUUCACAGAGUGCACUGGUCUAAAAGUAGGCUUUCUCGUAUUUAUCCUAGUAUUGACCCCCCUAGAUGUGAUAGGUGUCACCAUAGCUCUGCUAAUCUCCUACAUAUGUUUUAGAACUGCAGUUCCUUGUCUUCAUUUUGGGAAUCUGUUUUUGAUUCCCUCUCUGCUGUAAUAUCAAUUAAUAUCUCCCCUUCUCCCAUGGUUGGUCUUUUCGGAGUUCUACCCAUAGGCCUUUCUGUGCCAUCUCACUUUGGCUUUUUUGACACUGCUUGCAAGACAGCGAAUUCUUAUUUACUGGAGAAAGCCCCACCCACCCUCUCACACGGCAUUUAUGAAACUUGAUCAGAUUAAACAACAUCUACGUGGUUCAGAUAAAAAAAAUCUUUAAAGUCUGGCAGCCCUUUUUAGAUCAUAUACACGACAUACAGCUUGAUGUUUCUACCAAGUGAAUUUUUUCUCUUUCUAUACUAUUUUUGCCUCACUGCUGUCUGUAUAAUAUGGGGAUCCCCUCCUUUAAUUACUAUUAAUAGUACUUUUGUACUUAUUUAAAUUAUUAUUGUGCUUUGUGUUUUUUUUCCUUAAUUCUAAUUUGAAUUAUUUUCUUAUUAUUGUUACUUUUUUUCUUUGAUAGAUUCUGUUUUACAAUAUGCAAUGCCUGUAUCUUGUCAAUUUUUGAACAGCUUUAUUUAUGUAUUUUGCAAUGUCUAUAAAUAAAUCAUAAAAAAAAAAGAUAAACUUCAAAGAGACAUCAACAUUAAAGCGAAUGCUGAGUUCCCGGCGACUUUCCAUGAUAUCUUGGUGGUGGAUGCGUUCAUUCGGACAGUGAGACUAGGGGUGGCUUGGUGGCUGGCAAAGAAAAUGGAGGGACCACAGAUCACAGUAAAAUCUGUCAGGCUGUGGGGGUGGGUUGCAAUGAUACUUAAGAUAAAGAGAUGUUCAGAGCAGUGGCUGAGGUGACAUGUCAUUUAUGUAAACAGACAGGGCAUGUGAGUGCCCACACAGGAGGUAUUCAGUGAGCACUCAGAUGCUGGAAGGCUGCAGGGAAUGGCCGUAAAGGAGGAUAUAGCUGCCGGCGUGAAUUAUUUCCUCCACAGCCACCUCCACACUCGGCAGUUUAUGGUGCCAUGUAAAUUGAAUGGUAAGGAGUUGUGGGUACUAGUUGACGCUGGCUCAACAAUUAGCAUCAUUAGAUAAGGAAUCGUCCCUCUCAAUCCAUCCUGGCGGCCCACAAAGACAAAAAUGGAGACUAUAACAGGGCAAACUGCCCAUGUCACCUGGAAAGACUGCAUUGAUGAGGUGUUGGACUGGCUGUCCUGCUCUUCCUGGUUUGGCAUGCUUAACCCACGUAGCAGCUACUGGGAGGUCUCCUGGCCCUUGACGCAGCUCCCAAGACAGCCUUAAUGCUGGGCAGGGGGUUAUGGGAAUUUACUGUUCUGCCAUUCGGCCUGGCUAACAACCCCACCACCUUCAAGAGACUAAUGGCAUGGGUCCUCGAAGGAGUGUCCCUCACCUCCUGUAUCGUUGAUUUGGAUGACACCCUAGUCCGUACAGUGGACUUUAAGCUUCUUGGGGCUGGCCUCACAUGUUGCUGCAUCGGGACUGCCUGGCCCCAUUCCUGGAAGAUCAGGCAGGGUAGAACCUUGCCCCAGAGGACCUGACCAACGCUCUCUAGAGAGCGCCUCAGGCCUCUCCAGAUCACUCCAUUGGAAUCCUCUCCAUGGCCCCCUGGAGACCUGAGGGGACUUCGACACCCCAUCAGAUUCAACGCACAGGCCGGAAGCUGAGCUGAGGGGGAUGCCAAAUACUCCUGGGGUCAGGAGACUACAUCAGUUCAGAGCAAUGUGGCAUUCAGCAUUUACUAAACUAUGUAGGUAGUUCAGUAAAAAAGAAAGAAAUGUUUAUUCUGGUUUAAGUGGGCUAAACAUGGACUUCUGUUCUAAAAGAGCCUGAAUACAAGUGUGGUGCCAGGUUUUGUGAAGAAGGAAAAAAGUUUUUUUUUUUUGUUUUGUUUUGUUUUGUUUUUUGCAGAGAGCAUGCUAGGCAGUUGGGUUUUCCUGGCUGUUUUUGAGCUGUUCUGCAGUUUGGAAUAAACGCUUCAGUUGUGGACUAGA